AUGACAAAGGUGGUUUGGGGGAACUGGGCGCCUUCAAAGUGUAAGUUCUUUGCGUGGCUUGUUAUCAAGGAUAGAGUGUGGACGGCUGACCAUUUGCAGCGACGAGGAUGGCCGAAUUGCAAUUUAUGCCAACUAUGCAAGAGGGAGCCUGAGACGGCGGCGCAUUUACUGUUCAAGUGCAGAUACUCCACCCGCAUAUGGAACGCGAUGAGAUGCUGGUUGGAUGCACCUGAGCUGGACACUAUCGCUUGGGCAAGGAUCCCAACGGUCCAGGAGUGGUGGGCUAGGACUGUGCUCGAGCGUGGGCACCGGAGAAAAGUCGUAUCCUCACUUAUAUCGCUUGUAUCCUGGGAGCUUUGGAAAGAGCGAAAUGCGAGGGUGUUCCAGAAGAAAUUUCCUAUGCCAACAAUCGUGUUCGCAGGCAUGGGUCUUGGCCGGGGCUAA
rnacentral:rRNA from 1 species